GACGAACGCUGGCGGCGUGCUUAACACAUGCAAGUCGAACGGAAAGGCCCUGCUUUUGUGGGGUGCUCGAGUGGCGAACGGGUGAGUAACACGUGGGUAACCUGCCCUUGACUUUGGGAUAACUUCAGGAAACUGGGGCUAAUACCGGAUAGGAGCUCCUGCUGCAUGGUGGGGGUUGGAAAGUUUCGGCGGUUGGGGAUGGACUCGCGGCUUAUCAGCUUGUUGGUGGGGUAGUGGCUUACCAAGGCUUUGACGGGUAGCCGGCCUGAGAGGGUGACCGGCCACAUUGGGACUGAGAUACGGCCCAGACUCCUACGGGAGGCAGCAGUGGGGAAUAUUGCACAAUGGGCGGAAGCCUGAUGCAGCAACGCCGCGUGCGGGAUGACGGCCUUCGGGUGGUAAACCGCUUUCGCCUGUGACGAAGCGUGAGUGACGGUAAUGGGUAAAGAAGCACCGGCUAACUGCGU
rnacentral:rRNA from 1 species